rnacentral:tRNA from 1 species
GCCUGGGUGGCUCAGUCAGUUAAGCAUCCGACUUCAACUCAGGUUAUGAUCUCACAGUUUGUGGGUUCGAGUCCCACGUCCGGCU